rnacentral:rRNA from 1 species
AUUGAACGCUAGCGGGAUGCUUUACACAUGCAAGUCGAACGAGUGGCGGACGGGUGAGUAAUAUAUGGGAACGUGCCCAGUAGCGGGGGAUAACUACUCGAAAGUAUGGCUAAUACCGCAUACUCUUGGAGCGGCCGAUAUGGGAUUAGCUUGGGGGGGGGGUAAAGGCUCACCAAGGCAACGAUCCGUAGCUGGUUUGAGAGGACGACCAGCCACACUGGGACUGAGACACGGUCCAGACUCCUACGGGAGGCAGCAGUGGGGAAUUUUGGACAAUGGGGGCAAGCCUGAUGCAGCCAUCCCGCGUGUAUGAGAAGGCCUUCGGGUUGUAAAGUACUUUUGGCAGGGAAGCGGUAUCUGCAGAAGAAGCACCGGCUAACUACGUGCCAGCAGCCGCGGUAAUUC